CAGUAAGUAGUUUAAUUGAAAAAUUUGGGUUUUGGGGAUUUAAGAUGCUUUGUAAGCUUUACUGA
rnacentral:tRNA from 1 species